CUGAAAAACUAUUUGGUUUUUUUGUUCCAUCCCAUUGUUUUAUUCACCCUGUUGCUUCCACUGGAAUAAGUUCCACAUAUCUUAUGUGUGGGAGCUUUUGGUUAUAGAUGCCAGCCAGUGGGAAGACCAUUUACAAAAAUUUGUUGAGAACCCCUUUGUCUGAAUAUUUUGCUCCAAUGAAAUA
rnacentral:misc_RNA from 1 species